UACAGAGGGGGCAAGCGUUGUUCGGAAUUACUGGGCGUAAAGGGCGCGUAGGCGGCGCGGUAAGUCACUUGUGAAAUCUCUGAGCUUAACUCAGAACGGCCAAGUGAUACUGCAGUGCUAGAGUGUGGAAGGGGCAAUCGGAAUUCUUGGUGUAGCGGUGAAAUGCGUAGAUAUCAAGAGGAACACCUGAGGUGAAGACGGGUUGCUGGGCCAACACUGACGCUGAUGCGCGAAAGCCAGGGGAGCAAACGGG
rnacentral:rRNA from 1 species